rnacentral:rRNA from 1 species
UACGUAGGGGGCAAGCGUUGUCCGGAUUUAUUGGGCGUAAAGAGCGUGUAGGCGGCCACACAGGUCUGCUGUGAAAACUCGAGGCUCAACCUCGAGCUGUCGGUGGAAACCGUGUGGCUAGAGUCCGGAAGAGGAGAGUGGAAUUCCCGGUGUAGCGGUGAAAUGCGCAGAUAUCGGGAAGAACACCCGUGGCGAAGGCACUUUACUGGGCUAUUACUAACACUCAGAGACGAAAGCUAGGGUAGCAAAUGGG